rnacentral:rRNA from 1 species
AGUGAACGCUGGCGGUAGGCCUAACACAUGCAAGUCGAACGGCAGCACAGUAAGAGCUUGCUCUUACGGGUGGCGAGUGGCGGACGGGUGAGGAAUACAUCGGAAUCUACUUUUUCGUGGGGGAUAACGUAGGGAAACUUACGCUAAUACCGCAUACGACCUACGGGUGAAAGCAGGGGAUCUUCGGACCUUGCGCGAUUGAAUGAGCCGCUGUCGGAUUAGCUAGUUGGCGGGGUAAAGGCCCACCAAGGCGACGAUCCGUAGCUGGUCUGAGAGGAUGAUCAGCGACACUGGAGCUGAGACACGGUCCAGACUCCUACGAGAGGCAGCAGUGGGGAAUAUUGGACAAUGGGCGCAAACCUGAUCCAGCCAUCCCGCGUGGGUGGAGAAGGCCUUCGGGUUGUAAAGCCCUUUUGUUGGGAGAGAAAAGCAGCAGGUUAAUACCCCGCUGUUCUGACGGUACCCAAAGAAUAAGCACCGGCUAACUUCGUG